rnacentral:snRNA from 1 species
AUCGCUUCUUGGCCUUUUGGCUAAGAUCAAGUGUAGAACACUGGUCAGCACACUUUCUGCAGAGAAAAGAUGAAAGGAUAUUAUUUAGAUACUUAAAUAACAAAUGUACACAUUUUUUAUUAAGAAAAUUUAAUAUAAUUUUUAAUCUUGGUCAUAUAAAAAUGGAAUUCU